UGAUCCUGGCUCAGGAUGAACGCUAGCGGCAGGCUUAACACAUGCAAGUCGAGGGGUAUAAGUCUUCGGAUUUAGAGACCGGCGCACGGGUGCGUAACGCGUAUGCAAUCUACCUUUUACAGAGGGAUAGCCCAGAGAAAUUUGGAUUAAUACCUCAUAGCAUAGCAGCUUCGCAUGAAGCCACUAUUAAAGUCACAACGGUAAAAGAUGAGCAUGCGUCCCAUUAGCUAGUUGGUAAGGUAACGGCUUACCAAGGCUACGAUGGGUAGGGGUCCUGAGAGGGAGAUCCCCCACACUGGUACUGAGACACGGACCAGACUCCUACGGGAGGCAGCAGUGAGGAAUAUUGGACAAUGGGCGCAAGCCUGAUCCAGCCAUGCCGCGUGCAGGAUGACGGUCCUAUGGAUUGUAAACUGCUUUUAUACGAGAAGAAACACUCCUUCGUGAAGGAGCUUGACGGUAUCGUAAGAAUA
rnacentral:rRNA from 1 species